rnacentral:rRNA from 1 species
UACGUAGGUCGCAAGCGUUGUCCGGAUUUACUGGGCGUAAAGAGCGCGCAGGCGGCUGGUCAAGUCCGAUGUGAAAUCUCCCGGCUCAACUGGGAAACUGCAUCGGAAACUGAUCGGCUUGAAGAUGGGAGAGGGUAGUGGAAUUCCCGGUGUAGUGGUGAAAUGCGUAGAGAUGUGGAGGAACACCAGUGGCGAAGGCGACUCUUUGGCCUGUAACUGACGCUGAGGCGCGAAAGCGUGGGGAGCAAACAGG